UACGUAGGGCGCAAGCGUUAUCCGGAAUUAUUGGGCGUAAAGAGCUCGUAGGCGGUUUGUCGCGUCUGCCGUGAAAGUCCGGGGCUCAACUCCGGAUCUGCGGUGGGUACGGGCAGACUAGAGUGAUGUAGGGGGAGACUGGAAUUCCUGGUGUAGCGGUGAAAUGCGCAGAUAUCAGGAGGAACACCGAUGGCGAAGGCAGGUCUCUGGGCAACAACUGACGCUGAGGAGCGAAAGCGUGGGGAGCGAACAGG
rnacentral:rRNA from 1 species